ACAUUAAAUCACAAGGAGCAAGAACUGGAAGAGUUAAGAAUUGCAUAUUACAACUUGACCAGUAACAACAGUGCUCUGUUGGCGGCUCAUGCUAUCCUGCAGUCCAAAUAUGAAAGAAACAACAGUUAUCUACAGGAAAGUCGAGAUACCCUGCAGUCUCAGUAUGUAGCUCUGAAUAAGAAGCAUGAAGAACUGGCCAAAGAGUUCAGUAAACUGCAGGAAUACUACUGUGAUGGCACAAACACAUCUCAUGUAAACACUUGCCCGCUAUGUAAAGUGGGCUGGAUCCCCUUCGGUUCCAAGUGUUACUUCAUCUCCAUUACGACACUGACCUGGAAUGAGAGCCAUGAUUGGUGCCUGACAAAGGGUGGACAACUAGUGAAUAUAGAAAACUCAGAGGAGUGGGAAUUUUUGAAAAAUCAAUCUGAAAUCAUUGGAGGUAAUCCAAAAUAUUUUUGGUUUGGCCGAUAUGAUAUCAUUGAAGUAGAGGAAAGUACCAGGAUGGGCGGCGAGCCUGUAAAAUCCAAGAG